rnacentral:rRNA from 1 species
AACAAACGCUGGCGGCGUGCCUAAUACAUGCAAGUCUAACGGGUAGCAAUAUCAGUGGCGCACGGGUGAGGAAUAUAUGGGUAAUCUGCCCUCGAGUCGGGGAUAACCAGUCGAAAGAUUGGCUAAUACCGGAUAAGACCACAGGAUCUGCGGAUCAAGGGGUUAAAGGUUUUUCGCUUGAGGAUGAGCCCAUACGGGAUUAGCUAGUUGGUGAGGUAAUGGCUCACCAAGGCUACGAUACCUAACUGGUCUUAGAGGAUGAUCAGUCACACUGGAACUGAGACACGGUCCAGACUCCUACGGGAGGCAGCAGUAGGGAAUAUUGCACAAUGGGGGAAACCCUGAUGCAGCGACGCCGCGUGAGUGAUGAAGGCCUUCGGGUCGUAAAGCUCUGUCGUAUGGGACUAACACAAUGAAGGUACCAUGCAAGAAAGGAUCGGCUAACUUCGUGCCAGCAGCCGCGGUAA